AUUUCUGUGGUGUAGGAGCACGUUAGGUUUUCAUCUUAAAGGGGUAAGUUAUAUGUUACUAGAAAUA
rnacentral:tRNA from 1 species